AAAUGUUUGUUUUAGAAUCGCUUAUGUCUCAGCAUUGGACUUUCUUCAUUACCUACUUACUACAUAUGACAGCAGAACACAAGCAUCUUACAACAAUUACAAAAAAGGUCAUCUUGUAACUUGACAUUACAUUUUGAUGUACAUAAUAAAUAAAGGAAUGA